UGAGAACACAGGACUGAUUCACCACUUGAUGCCUGGCUGUUUAUCCCUCAGGAUCAUUGAUGGACAUGAUCUGAUGCCCCUACUUGAAGGAAAAUACCAGUACUCUGAUCAUGAGUUUCUCUUCCGUUACUGAAAUGCCCACUUAAACGCUGGUGCCCUUGGAACAAUGGGACUGACUAGAUGCAGGAAAACUAGCUCAGGGCUGCCACUGAUUCUACAUUAUGGACUGACACCACAUGGAGGCUUGAGACUUACACCCUCUGAAGCCAUGGCCCAAGCUGUACUUUUGCUCCUUUUUACCACAGUUGAAACAGCACAAGUUGGAACAAAGCACCAAGUCCAGAGGCAGCACAAAGCAGUGGGAAAAGCAUUUUUUUCCUCCUAUACCUCCAGACCUGUGAUGGGAAGACUACCAUCAAGGUUGCUGAGAUGGCCUGGAGACAUUUUCACCAUUGGCUCCUCAUUAAUUUUGCAAAUUUCAUCAAUGAGUUUGAAUUUCUUCCCAGAAAAUGGUUUUCUUUCUUUUCUACUGCAUCAUCAGGCUUCAAAUUUUCUAAACUUUUAUGCUCUGUUACUUCUCGAAUACUUUGCUGCUUAGAAAUUUCUUCUGCCAGAUACCCUUAAAUUUUCUCUCUUAAUUUCAAAGUUCCAAAGAUCUCUAGGGCAGGGGCAGAAAGCUGCCAGUCUCCUUGCUAAAGUACAGCAAGAGUCACCUUUACUCAAGUUCCCAACAAAUUCUUCAUCUCCAUCUGAGACCACCUCAGCCUGAAUAUUAUUGUCCAUAUUACUAUCAGCAUUUUGGUCAAAGCCAUUCAGCAAGUCGCUAGGAGGCUCUAAACUUUCUCACAUCUUCCUGUCUUCCAAACCCUCCAAUUCUCUAGGCAGUUCCAAAGUUUCCCACAUCUUCUUGUUUCCUUAGCCCUCCAAGUCUCUAGGAAGUUCCAAGGCUAUCCCACAUUUUUCUGUCUUCUUCUGAGCCCUGAAAACUGUUCCAACCUCUGCUUCUUACCCACUUCCAAAGUCACUUCCAUAUUUUUGGGUACCUUUACAGCAGCACCCCACUACCAGCUACUAAUUUAUUGUAUUAUUCAGUUCUCAUGCUGAUAAUAAAGACAUACCCAAGACAGGGUAAUUUAUAAAGGAAAGAAGUUUAAUAGACUCACAGUUCCUUAAGGAUGGGGAGGCUUCAGGAAUCUUAUGAUCAUGGCAGAAUGGGAAGCAAACAUGUCCUUCACAUGGCAGCAACAAGGAGAAGUGCAGAGCAAAGGUAGGACAAAGCACCUUAUAAAAACAUAGAUCUUGUGAGAACUCACUAUAAUGUGAGCAACGUGGAGAUAAACACUCUCAUAAUUCAAUUAUUCCCACUGGGUCUCUUUCAUGACAUGUGGGAAUUAUGGGGACUACAAUUCAAUAUGAGAUUUGGAUGGGGACACAGCAAAAACAUAUCACCAUAAGAGGGCAUAAGACAGCCUGGUUCCCUGUGUCACCACCAGGAGCAGCUCCAGAGAGUUGCCUGCUCAACAGGUGGCUGUAACCUGAAUGAGAACUAAACUGUUUUUAAAUAUGAGGAACUGAGAUUUGGAGGUUGUUAAGUAUAACAUCAGCAGGAGAUAAUUACCUUGACUAAUACAAGAGGUCAGCCAUACUAGAUAAACCUAACAUUUUAUGAUAAUUCUUUGGAUUUCAAAAAGAUGCUUUGAUUUACUGGUACUCUUUAAAUGGAAGUUAUGUGCAUUAUCUUUAAAGGCUAUCAGCUAUGUGAAAGUGAUAAUUGAAUAAAAUUAAAGAUAAAAAUAUAGUGGAGUCUACUACCAAUUGACCAUGGCCCUGAAUUGAUUGUAAGUGAUUCUGCUAUUCCAGUAUAAAUGAGCGGAGAGGCAGAGUUGAUUAAUUUCCACAACAAAUGUAAUUAUUACUUAAAUGUUGAGGUUCUUUUUGAAACAUUUCAUUUUGCUUCACUGGAUUCUAUGAGAAUAAUAGAUUUCAAAAUAUAUUACACUUAUUGGGGAAUGAUGUUAUUUUUAGUGGCAGUUGCAACUUUAAAAUUUUUCAAUGAAUAUAUAUAUUACAUAUUUCAUAGUAUUAUAAAUACAUACAUUUUUUAAGAUGGAGUUUCACUCUUGUCACCCAGGCUGGAAUCCCAUGGCACAAUCUUGGCUCACUGCAACCUCCUCCUCUUGAGUUCAAGUGAUUCUCUUGCCUCAAUCUCCCGAAGAGCUGGGUUUACAGGCACCCGCCACCAUGCCCAGCUAUACAGGCACACACCACCAUGCCCAGGUUUUUUUUUUUUUUUUUUUUAUUUUUAGUACAGUCAGGAUUUCACCAUGUGGGCCAGGCUGGUCUUGAACUUCUGACCUUAGGUGAUCUGCCCACCUCGGCCUCCCAAAGUGCUGUGAUUACAGGCAUGAGCCACUGCACCCAGCCCCAGUGGAUAUAUUUUUUGUAAUGUAUUAUUGAAUUCCCUAUAAACUUUGUCACGUUGAAAUACUUUUUAAAAUACUUCCCGUGCCUACAUAGUAGUUCAGUAAAUGCAAUAUUUUAGUUUCGUUAAUGACAUCUUGGUCUUAGGAAAAGAUGAAACAAUGACAUAAUAUUUUAAGCCAAGCUAUUUCUGCAAUCUUUGAAAUAAUACCAUUGAACUUGUGUUUAAUAUUUCCAAUUAGUUCAUGUGAUUCUUGCAUUUUGUGCUUUUUCUUCAUGUGAAUUAAUAAUUCCAAUAAUUAAUUGGAAUUAUUUCCAAUUAAUUUAUGUGAUUCUUGCAUUUUCUUUCAAAGUCAGAUGGUUAACUAUGUCAUUAAUGCAAAGUGUAGGCUCUGUGUUGAAAUCUGAAGACACUCUGCAGCAAGGUUUGCACAUACUCUUGUCUACUGCCUCAGGCUGAUGUGUGUGAAAGUCAGAAGUUCUAUAGGAAGAAGCUGGAAAAAUUCAAAGCUUG
rnacentral:lncRNA from 1 species